AUUGAACGCUGGCGGCAGGCCUAACACAUGCAAGUCGAGCGGAGCGGCGGACGGGUGAGUACUGCCUAGGAAUCUGCCUGGUAGCGGGGGAUAACGUCCGGAUACGGGCGCUAAUACCGCAUACUAUCAGAUGAGCCUAGGUCGGAUUAGCUCGCUGGUGGGGUAAAGGCCUACCAAGGCUACGAUCCGUAACUGGUCUGAGAGGAUGAUCAGUCACAAGGGAACUGAGACACGGUCCAGACUCCUACGGGAGGCAGCAGUGGGGAAUAUUGGACAAUGGGCGAAGGCCUGAUCCAGCCAUGCCGCGUGUGUGAAGAAGGUCUUCGGAUUGUAAAGCACUGUAAGUUGGGAGGCGUUACCAACAGAAUAAGCACCGGCUAACUUCGUGCCAGCAGCCGCGGUAAUAC
rnacentral:rRNA from 1 species